CCUACGUGCGGCAGCAGUGGGGAAUAUUGGGCAAUGGGCGCAAGCCUGACCCAGCAACGCCGCGUGAAGGAAGAAGGCUUUCGGGUUGUAAACUUCUUUUCUCAGGGACGAAGAAAGUGACGGUACCUGAGGAAUAAGCCACGGCUAACUACGUGCCAGCAGCCGCGGUAAUACGUAGGUGGCAAGCGUUAUCCGGAUGUAUGGGGUGUAAAGGGCGUGUAGGCGGGAGCGCAAUUCAGAUGUGAAAACUCAGGUCUCAACCCUGGGCCUGCAUUGGAAACUGUGUUUCUUGAGUGCUGGAGAGGCGAUCGGAAUUCCGGGUGUAGCGGUGAAAUGCGUAGAGAUACGGAGGAAGACCAGUGGCGAAGGCGGAUUGCUGGACAGUAACGGACGCUGAGGGGCGAAAGCGUGGGGAGCAAACAGGAUUAGAUACCCGGGUAGUC
rnacentral:rRNA from 1 species